UUAGCUUAGCAUGAAGACGAGACGCUAGAGGAAACAGGUAGCUUAGCUUAGCAUAAAGAUGACACACUAGAGGAAACAGCUAGCUUAGCUUAGCAUGAAGACGAGACGCUAGAGGAAACAGCUAGCUUAGCUUAGCAUGAAGGCGAGACGCUAGAGGAAACAGGUAGCUUAGCUUAGCAUGAAGACAAGACGCUAGAGGAAAAAGGUAGCUUAGCUUAGCAUGAAGACGAGACGCUAGAGGAAACAGGUAGCUUAGCUUAGCAUGAAGACGAGACGCUAGAGGAAACAGGUAGCUUAGCUUAACAUGAAGACGAGACACUAGAGGAAACAGGUAGCUUAGCUUAGCAUGAGAACUAGACGCUAGAGUAAACAGGUAGCUUAGCUUAGCAUGAGGACUAGACACUAGAGGAAACAGGUAGCUUAGCUUAGCAUGAAGACGAGACGCUAGACGAAACAGGUAGCUUAGCUUAGCAUGAACACUAGACACGAGAGGAAAAGGGUAGCUUAGCUUAGCUUAACAUAAAGACUAGACACUAGAGGAAAAAGGUAGCUUAGCUUAGCAUGAACACUAGACACUAGAGGAAACAGGUAGCUUAGCUUAGCAUGAAGACAAGAUGCUACAGAAAACAGGUAGCUUAGCUUAGCAUGUAGACGAGAUGCUAGAGGAAACAGGUAGCUUGGCUUAGCAUGUAGACGAGAUGCUAGAGGAAACAGGUAGUUUAGCUUAGCAUAAAGACUAGACACUAGAGAAAACAGGUAACUUAGCUUAGCAUGAAGACAAGAUGCUACAGAAAACAGGUAGCUCAGCUUAGCAUGUAGACGAGAUGCUAGAGGAAACAGGUAGUUUAGCUUAGCAUAAAGACUAGACACUAGAGAAAACAGGUAGCUUAGCUUAGCAUGAAGACGAGACACUAGAGGAAAAGGUAGCUUAGCUU